GACGAACCACACAAACGUUAUUCGGAAUUACUGGGCUUAAAGGGUGCGUAGGCGGCGCGGAAAGUUGGGUGUGAAAUCCCUCGGCUCAACCGAGGAACUGCGCUCAAUACUACCGUGCUCGAGGGAGACAGAGGUGAGCGGAACUUAGGGUGGAGCGGUGAAAUGCGUUGAUAUCCUAAGGAACACCCGUGGCGAAAGCACUCUGCUGGGCCGACACUGACACUGAGAGACGAAAGCUAGGGGAGCGAAUGGG
rnacentral:rRNA from 1 species